rnacentral:rRNA from 1 species
GAUCAUGGCUCAGGAUGAACGCUGGCGGCGUGCUUAACACAUGCAAGUCGAACGAAGCACUUAAGAUUGAUUCUUCGGAUGAUUUUUUUUGUGACUUAGUGGCGGACGGGUGAGUAACGCGUGGGUAACCUGCCUCACACAGGGGGAUAACAGUUAGAAAUGACUGCUAAUACCGCAUAACCCGAUAGGAUCGCAUGAUCCAGACGGAAAAGAUUUAUCGGUGUGAGAUGGACCCGCGU